rnacentral:rRNA from 1 species
CCCUUAGAUGUUCUGGGCUGCACGCGCGCUACACUGAUACUUUCAGCGAGUCCACCACCUUGCCUGGGAGGGUGGGGUAACCUCUGGAAAGUGCAUCGUGAUUGGGAUAGAUGAUUGCAAUUCUUCAUCUUCAACGAGGAAUGCCUAGUAAACGCAAGUCAUCAGCUUGCAUUGAUUACGUCCCUGCCCUUUGUACACACCGCCCGUCGCUCCUACCGAUUGAAUGAUCCGAUGAAUACCAUGGAUUGAGAGUACGAAUAGGAUCGCUUAUUUCUGCUGCUCGAGAAGUGGAGUAAAUCUUAUCAUUUAGAGGAAGGAGAAGUCGUAACA